UUUAACUGAGCGUUCAGUUACUUGACGUAGACCCGAAACCGGGCGACCUACCCAUGAGCAGGAUGAAGCGAAAGUAAAAUUUCGUGGAGGUCCGAACCCACGAGCGUUGAAAAGCUCGGGGAUGACUUGUGGGUAGCGGUGAAAUUCCAAUCGAGCCCGGAGAUAGCUGGUUCUCCCCGAAAUAGCUUUAGGGCUAGCCUCAAGGUGAGAGAUACGGAGGUAGAGCACUGAAUGUCCUAGGGGGUAUUGCACCUACCGAAGACUAUCAAACUCCGAAUGCCGUCAUCUUAUACUUGGGAGUCAGACUGUGGGUGAUAAGAUUCAUAGUCGAAAGGGCAACAGCCCAGAUCGUCAGCUAAGGUCCCUAAAUGUAAGUUAAGUGGUAAAGGAUGUGGGAUUGCACAGACAACCAGGAUGUUGGCUUAGAAGCAGCCACUCAUUCAAAGAGUGCGUAAUAGCUCACUGGUCGAGUGAUCCUGCGCCGAAGAUUUCCGGGGCUAAAACUUACUACCGAAGCUACGGCAUCAGUAAUGAUGGGUAGGGGAGCUUCCCAUACGGGUUGAAGCAUGACCGUAAGGACAUGUGGACAGUAUGGGAGUGAGAAUGUUGGCAUGAGUAGCGAGAUGUGGGUGGGAAUCCCACAGGCCGUAAACCCAAGGUUUCCAGGGGAAGGUUCGUCCGCCCUGGGUUAGUCGGGACCUAAGCUGAGGCCGAAAGGCGUAGGUGAUGGACAACAGGUUGAUAUUCCUGUACUACCGAUAACCGUUUGAGAGAAGGGAUGACACAGUAGGAUAAGCUAAGCACACUGUUGGUUAUGUGUGCCCAAGCAUUGAGGCAGUCAAAGUAGGCAAAUCCGCUUUGAUAAUGCUGGGAUGUGAUGGGGAGCGAAAUUUAGUAGCGAAGUAGCUGAUUUCACACUGUCAAGAAAAGUCUCUAUCGAGGUUAAAGGUACCCGUACCGCAAACCGACACAGGUGGGUGAGGAGAGUAUCCUAAGGCCAGCGAGAGAACUGUUGUUAAGGAACUCGGCAAAAUGACCCCGUAACUUAGGGAUAAGGGGUGCCACCAUCAGGUGGCCGCAGAGAAUAGGCCCAAGCGACUGUUUACCAAAAACAUAGGUUUCUGCUAAGUCGCAAGACGAUGUAUAGGAGCUGACGCCUGCCCGGUGCUGGAAGGUUAAGGGGAUCUGUUAGAGCAAUCGAAGCAGUGAACUUAAGCCCCAGUAAACGGCGGCCGUAACUAUAACGGUCCUAAGGUAGCGAAAUUCCUUGUCGGGUAAGUUCCGACCCGCACGAAAGGCGUAACGAUUUGGGCACUGUCUCAACAACAGACUCGGUGAAAUUGUAAUUCCGGUGAAGAUGCCGGAUACCUGCGACAGGACGGAAAGACCCCAUGGAGCUUUACUGUAGCUUGACAUUGGGUCUUGGUACUACAUGUACAGGAUAGGUGGGAGGCUUUGAAACCAGGACGCCAGUUUUGGCGGAGCCAUCCUUGGGAUACCACCCUUGUAGUACUGGGACUCUAACCAUAGGCCAUGAAUCUGGUCUUGGGACACUGUCAGGUGGGCAGUUUGACUGGGGCGGUCGCCUCCCAAAAGGUAACGGAGGCGCUCAAAGGUUCUCUCAGUACGGUCGGAAAUCGUACGUAGAGUGUAAAGGCAAAAGAGAGCUUGAUUGCAAGACAUACAGGUCGAGCAAGGAUGAAAAUCGGACUUAGUGAUCCGGUGGUUCUGCGUGGAAGGGCCAUCGCUCAACGGAUAAAAGCUACCCUGGGGAUAACAGGCUUAUCUCCCCCAAGAGUCCACAUCGACGGGGAGGUUUGGCACCUCGAUGUCGGCUCAUCACAUCCUGGGGCUGUAGUAGGUCCCAAGGGUUGGGCUGUUCGCCCAUUAAAGUGGUACGCGAGCUGGGUUCAGAACGUCGUGAGACAGUUCGGUCCCUAUCCGUCGCAGGCGUAGGAAAUUUGAGAAGACCUGUCCUUAGUACGAGAGGACCGGGAUGGACG
rnacentral:rRNA from 1 species